rnacentral:lncRNA from 1 species
AUAAGGAGUUAAUGCCAUUUAAAGUCAAAUAACAAUAACUCGUAAUUUUUUGUAAUCUAACUUUCACAAAAGAAACAACUGAGACAAAUUUAACCACAAAUAAACAUUCAGGUAUUUAAUUUUAGUUUUUAUGAAUGUAUCCGAUAACUCUGUCUGCAAACCAACAUUGCAGACAUGACUAAACAUAGAAUUUAGGGGGGAACAUGCCGUUUUUUACUUGUAUCUCUGAAACUAUAGCAAAAGUAUCACGAUUGGCUUAUUUCAUGCAUCAAUUGUUUUAAAAUAAAAAUAUCAUAAGAGCCUCUAGUUUGUGUAUGUACUCCUUUGGGGUGCAUUGUGCUUUUUUGUGUGGUGGAUGUGUGUUCUGUGGUGCAUUGUGGUCCUUUGAGGUGUAUUUUAUUUUGUGGUGGAUGUGUUCUUUGUGGUGUAUUCUUCCUAUGUGGUGUAUUCUUCAUUUGGGUUGGAAGUGGUCCGUUUUGGUGCAUUAUAUCGUUUUUGCACAAGUUAUUUUCGCGAUAAUGUCAGCAUUUUCGGAUAAUUAUAAUGUUUUUUUUGCCAUAUAACGGUCAACCAAUUUGUGAUGGCGACCGUAAAAUUUACGAAGAGAUGAUUUCAACUUCACCAUUUGGAACUCUUGAUUUAGUAGCUUCCUUGUGAGCAACAAAC